UACGAAGGGUGCAAGCGUUACUCGGAAUUACUGGGCGUAAAGCGUGCGUAGGUGGUGAGUUAAGUCUGUCGUGAAAGCCCCGGGCUCAACCUGGGAAUGGCGAUGGAUACUGGCUCGCUAGAGUGCGGUAGAGGAGAGUGGAAUUCCCGGUGUAGCGGUGAAAUGUGUAGAGAUCGGGAGGAACACCGGUGGCGAAGGCGGGUCUCUGGGCAAUUCCUGACGCUGAGGCGCGAAAGCGUGGGGAGCAAACGGG
rnacentral:rRNA from 1 species